rnacentral:rRNA from 2 species
AAGUCGUAACAAGGUCUCCGUUGGUGAACCAGCGGAGGGAU